rnacentral:lncRNA from 1 species
UGGGACUACUGUCAUGUGGCUUCACGGAGAUACUUGGUUAGAAAUAAUGUGUAACCAUAUUCGAGCCUCGGACAUGAAUUCGUUCAUGGAGAUGUUGCUUUUAGUCUUUUCCUAAGAGACUUCUUUUAUGGGGAAUAGCCUUUGCGCCAACCAACUCCCCGAUUUACACCCUUUUGCAUUUAAUUCACCCAUGUCUGCAUGUUGGAGACAAUAAACAUCAUUGAUUUGCUCAUCCCCAAC